rnacentral:lncRNA from 1 species
GGUGUGUUCGUUAUUUUAGCAACCUACUACAUCGUUUUGGGAGUGCACAACAAUUUCGGAAGUGAUAUCAUACUUCGAAGCGCAUUGGAAUCACCCCACGAUUCAAUUCGUGUUCUCGCUGGCAAAUCUUUCACGUUGACGCUCCAAACAAGGAAAAACACUAGUAUGGUGUUCAGCGUCAUUGACGCAACCAACGGUAGAAGAGUGGCGAUUAAUGGAAAAGCCAUGAUGAUACUUAAACCUACCAAAGUACCAGGCGCACCACAGGACCUUUAUUUCCCUAAAAAAGGUAUGCGACAAUAGCUUAGCAUGACAC